GACAGGGGGUUCGGGGCAAGAUUCGCCAGACACAGAGCACAGCUCCAGAGGAUGGCGGGUUAGUUUUCCUAAAACAGAGGGUCUUAUGUGCAAAACUGCCGCAGCCGAAGGGGUAUCCUUCGUUCAGAGUCGUCCGAUUACAAAUGAACGGCUCUGAUUAGAUCAUCACCGCAACAGAUCGGUCUGCAACUAGAGCCCCAUGAUGUUGAUCUAACGGUUACUAACUUCCGAAUCCCGCUCAAGACACCCGACCGUUCGAUCUUAGAUCAACGGUCUACCGUCCACUCCACUGAAUCGUUACGUUUGAACUAAUCUCGC
rnacentral:lncRNA from 7 species